CUCUAACUAGUGCCAGCAGCAUGCAGAGGCUCCAGGCACAGCCUUGUGCUGGACUCCAAAGCCAACCAGUGGAGGGACACGUAGAAUUAACACAGUCUGGGGCUUACUUCUUUCUUCUUUUCAAGUCAUAAGCAACCAGCUCUGCUCCUCCAUGUACUCCACCAAGAUGAGUCUUCUCACCACAGACACAGAGCAAUGGAGCCAACCACUGUGGACUGGAACUUCCCACCUCUGGCCUAAAUCAUUCUUUCCUCUCAGAGUACCUGCUACAGUGACACAGGCUAACAGACACCGAAAAACAAAACAAACAACACGGACAAGACAAUCUAGGCGGAUUGCUUGAUUUAGUCUUACUUCCUUUCAGAAAGUUUUAAGCCAACAGGAUGGGGGAUCUAUAGCUCAGUGGUAGAGUACUUGCCUAGUACACGCAUAAGGGCGGAGGCUUGAUCCCUCAUGCUGCCUCCACCCAGAAAAAUUACCAGGAGUAUGCUGCGAACAGGAAGAUGGAAAGCUGGUUUUGCAGAGCUCAAAACCUUGGAAUAAUGCCUGUCAAAUUCUACAUGUCUUUGAGAGAUGGG